UACGUAGGGGGCAAGCGUUGUCCGGAUUUACUGGGCGUAAAGAGCGUGUAGGCGGCCAAACAGGUCCGUUGUGAAAACUGGAGGCUCAACCUCCAGACGUCGACGGAAACCGUAUGGCUAGAGUCCGGAAGAGGAGAGUGGAAUUCCUGGUGUAGCGGUGAAAUGCGCAGAUAUCAGGAAGAACACCCGUGGCGAAAGCGGCUCUCUGGAACGGUACUGACGCUGAGACGCGAAAGCGUGGGGAGCGAACAGG
rnacentral:rRNA from 1 species